GGACUGCGUUUUUUCCGAACGCCAGCAGCAGGGUCAGAAGGGAGGUAGUCGCCCUCCGUCGUGGCCUGGCGUGGAUUCCGAGCGUUGGUGUCUGGCGGUUUCCGACCGUUGGUGUCUGGCACGCGCCACCCCGAUGUACCAGACAAGAAGACAAGAAAAUGAUUUGAGGACAGCUUCAAUCGCGGUGUGAAGAAGAAAGCAACAAAACGACCACUGAAAACAAUGCCGGUGGCAAAACAUCCAAAGAAAGGGUCCCAAGUGGUACAUCGUCAUAGCUGGAAACAGUCAGAGCCACCAGCCAAUGAUCUUUUCAAUGCUGCGAAAGCUGCCAAAAGUGACAUGCAGUGUGGCCAUGAGGUCUGCCGGAAGUGACUUGUUGGUGUUAUCUCCUGAGUUAAAAUGUGAAGGGAUUUUUUUUUUUCAGAUUACUGAGAGUCUUCAGUUACUAGAUCCAGACACGGGGACUGCAGAGAAAGGCUGUGUGCAUCCGCUGUCUACUCCACUGUCUCCUCUGCAGAGGCGGAUUUCCCUGACUGAAGACCAUGUUGCAGGCCCACAGCUGCCUACAGAACCGUCCCAAAAUAUGGCAAAGAAACCUAUUCUGAGCGAUAGGGUCUCACCAUGUUGCCCAGGCUGGUCUUGAACUCCUGGACUCAUCCUAAAGUGCUGGCCUCUCAUUCCCUGUCUGUGCACACCUCACGGCAAGGGCCAGCCUGUUUCCUCCCGGUCACCUCCAAAUCUUGCUGCUUUUAAUUCAACUCAGAGGUAUGCACUUGAGGUAGGAGGGCAGGGGAAGUGGGGAUGGCAGGACAUGGAUGGCCCUUGAGGCAUUGGCUCUGGGUGUCAUGGGCUGUGAGAGUCAAGAAGGGCAGUGGCCUGCCUGACUUGGGUUCGAAAGGGUCACUCUGGCCACUGCGGUGAGAACUGAAACUAGCCAGGCCAAUUCUCCAUUGUUCCUGCUCUUCCAGGUAGGAGAAUAUUAGAUUAGGUCUGGAGUCAGAAGGUAGCAGGGGCUGGGGGUUGCAGGGGGAUGUUGAGAAGAAGUGGUCCUUUGGUCAGGGUGGGAAGCCAACAGGAUUUCCUGGUGCAUUGGAGGUGAAAGGGAAGAGGCGCUGGUGGUUGUGCUUUGGGCCUGAGCAGCCAGAAGCCGUUGCCAUCACCUAUGACAAGGGAGACAGCGCCUGGGGCAGAGCCCAGUAUGGGGUGCAUUCAGGGUAGAUCAGGAGGUAUGAGUGGGCAGUGGGCGAGCCAGGCU
rnacentral:lncRNA from 10 species